CGCACAACAACCGCGCAUGGUUCCCCGCUGAUGCCAAGCAUCUGGGGAUGAAAUGGGAAUGUGGAAGGGCCGAUCCGCGCCGGAGGUCCAAUGCCACAGCCGCCCCCGCGACUGUAUGCGGAGAGUGCGUGUUCACAUAGCCACUGGGCCUGCCCCGGGAAGGCGAACACCGCACCUUGACCCGCAAGCCAGGAGACCAGCCUUGCAAAAUUGUGUCAC
rnacentral:ncRNA from 2 species